rnacentral:rRNA from 1 species
AUUGAACGCUGGCGGCAGGCCUAACACAUGCAAGUCGAGCGGAUGAAGGGAGCUUGCUCCUGGAUUCAGCGGCGGACGGGUGAGUAAUGCCUAGGAAUCUGCCUGGUCGUGGGGGAUAACGUCCGGAAACGGGCGCUAAUACCGCAUACGUCCUGAGGGCGAACGUGGGGGAUCUUCGGACCUCACGCUAUCAGAUGAGCCUAGGUCGGAUUAGCUAGUUGGUGGGGUAAAGGCCUACCAAGGCGACGAUCCGUAGCUGGUCUGAGAGGAUGAUCAGUCACACUGGAACUGAGACACGGUCCAGACUCCUACGGGAGGCAGCAGUGGGGAAUAUUGGACAAUGGGCGAAAGCCUGAUCCAGCCAUGCCGCGUGGGUGAAGAAGGCCUUCGGGUUGUAAAGCCCUUUUGUUGGGGAAGAAAAGCAGCAGGUUAAUACCUCGCUGUUUUGACGGUACCAAAAGAAUAAGCACCGGCUAACUUCGUG